rnacentral:rRNA from 1 species
GACGAACGCUGGCGGCGUGCUUAACACAUGCAAGUCGAACGGGGAAGCGCGUUCCUUUUUUGUGGGUUUGGAUGAGUGUCGAACGGGUGAGUAACACGUGAGUAGCCUGCCCCCUUCUUCUUGGUAACCGCAUGAAAUUGUGGCUAAUACGGGGUAUUCUGGGUCUGUUGCAUGAUGGGUCUGGGAAAGAUAUUGUUUCGGUGGUGGAUUGGCUCGCGGCCUAUCAGCUGGUUGGUGGGGUGAUGUCCUAGCGAGGCGGUGACGGGUAGCCGGCCUGGGCGGGUGGUAGGUCACACGAGGACUGGAACACCGACAAGACUCCUGAGGGACGCAGCAGUGGGGAAUAUUGGACAAUGGGCGCAAGCAUGAUGCAGCGACGCCGAGUGAGGGAUGGAAGCCUUCGGGUUGUGAACAUCUUUCGCGAGUGAAGAAGGCCUGCCUCGUUUGUGGGUGGGUUGACGGUAGCUGGAUAAGAAGCGCCGGCUAACUCCGUG